rnacentral:snRNA from 1 species
GCAGCCAAGCGUUCAUAG